rnacentral:lncRNA from 1 species
CGCAUUUGCAGACCGUUCUUUGAGGAAUCUGUCAUGCAACUUUCCCCAGAACAAUCCUGUAAGGUAGGUCAUUGUUACCCCUUCCAGAGUCAUUCUCUAGCCAAUGAAAUAUCAGUCCAUAAUACACCCAACCUGAGGUUGGGAUAACAUAUUUGUAGAAGGACUUCACUAUUUGAAAAAUAACAGGUGAGAGAUUGGGAAGUAGUUUUUAGAGAUCUGAGUACAAAACAAAAGGCAAAAGUAAGGUAAAUGUAAUAAAGUAUCUGCUUUGUAAAUAAUAGUAGGAAUAUGACCUAAAGGGUCAAUUUUUUAUACAAACACAGGAGCACUUACUAUUAGAAUGUGGCAUCCAUUUCAGGAUGGUCACCAAGCAGACUAUCUGUAUAUCUUAAUAUGCAGUUAUUGCUCAAAACACUUUUAUGACGUGAAUGUAUUUGUUCAUUUAUCCAACAAAUAUCAUUUAGGCAUCUCUCUUCAUGAGGCCUUGUGUUGGCGGUUGUCAAGAGACACAAAAAGGCGUGAGGUAGCAUUCCUAUAUUCGGUGGUGGCACUUAUCUGGAUUUUGAAGGAGAUUCGCCCUGAGCUAGCAUCAGCUGCCAAUCUUCCUCUUUUUAUAUGUGAGCUGCCACCACAGCAUGGCCACUAACAGACGUGUGGUGUGGGUCCACGCCCAGGAACCGAACACAGGCUGCUAAAGUGGAGCACACUGAAGUUAACCACUAGGCCAAGGGGGCUGGCCUGAGGUUCAAUAAUUUUUAAUAAGUGCAAAAUAUGUACCAGCUCACACACACUCCCUGGUCUCAUGGAAUUUACGGCGUAGAUGAGAAGAUCAACAUUAAAGUCUAGCUGAUGAUACUGAUGAAUGCAUAACUAUACACAGAGUAGUGCUCUGAAGAAAGGAAUGCUGCACUACAAAAGGACACGAUGAAAGAGCCCGACCUUGACUGGGGAUCAGGGAAAGCUUCUUCGAGGAAGCAAUCCUUGAGCUGAGAACCGAUUUAAAGAAGACGGAAGUGACCAUAUGCCAGUUCAGAGUGGGACUUCAAGAAGCAUGCUCUAGCAGCCACUUUGGACCAGAAGGGACCUUGAGGAUGGAAGCCCCUCAUGGCAG